CUGGACGAGAGAUCUGCUUCCUACAGGAGUUCUUCUUCUGCUGCUGCAGCUGCUGCAGCUUUACAUCGACAGCAGGGGGAGCUGUUGUCAGACUGUCCAUCGGCUGCAGCCGUGAGUCAGGCGCUGUCAUGGACGCCGAGGAAGAGGACUCUCCAACAGGAGCAGAUGAGUUUUCGGUUCAGAGAGAAGAUCAAGUCUCAGACUUCGAUCACUCAGGAGGAGCAGGUGGCUGUCUGUGGUGCGGUGUGUUUCUUCUGCCAGCAGAGAGUGUAUCUGAUGGAGCGUCUGAGUGCUGAGAGUCUCUUCUUCCAUCGCAGCUGUUUCCAGUGUUCUCACUGCAGCAGCACGCUGAGACUGGGGGGGGUACAGCUAUGAUCCACACAGCAGGCGGUUUUACUGUCUGCAGCACGCCACGGCGAGGAAGAGGCCGAGUCUGACUGACAUCACCACCUCACACCAGCCCUCC
rnacentral:lncRNA from 1 species